rnacentral:rRNA from 1 species
AGUCGGAAAUGCCCGAAGUCGGUGACCUAACCCCUGGUGAGCAUGACCGUACAGACGUGAUAACAGAUCGAAGAUUUGUUAUAUACGCGAAAAAGAAGUACGGAGGUCGUGCUCAGCAGGGGGAAGGAGCCGCCGAAGGCAGGUCGGAUGACUGGGGUGAAGUCGUAACAAGGUAAC